rnacentral:rRNA from 1 species
UACGUAGGUGGCAAGCGUUGUCCGGAAUUAUUGGGCGUAAAGCGCGCGCAGGCGGUCCUUUAAGUCUGAUGUGAAAGCCCACGGCUCAACCGUGGAGGGUCAUUGGAAACUGGGGGACUUGAGUACAGAAGAGAAGAGUGGAAUUCCACGUGUAGCGGUGAAAUGCGUAGAGAUGUGGAGGAACACCAGUGGCGAAGGCGACUCUUUGGUCUGUAACUGAC